UCGCCCGUUUCUAGUUGCUCUAUUGGAACCCAUCUAGUUGACCACCAAGCUCUUAAGGAGGAUUUUCAAUUUUCUGACAUGGCUCAGGUGUCAGCUGUGAGCCAAUCUGGUGGUAUAUUGCUUUUAUGGUACCAUGACUCACUUACAGUGGAUAUUCUUGCCACUACUCAGCAAGAAGUUCACUGCAUGAUCAAGGUAUGUCCUCAUCCUCAAAACUAGUUAUUUUUCGCAGUAUCUGCUAGCACUCAUUAUAAAGAUAUAAACAUUUUAUGGCAGAAUCUUAAGUGUAUAAAAGAUCUUUACUCGGGUACAUAGAUACUAGGUGGAGAUUUUAAUGAGAUCCUUUCAGCGGGAGACAAAUAUGGUGGUAGAUAUAUUAAUUUAAAUAGAUCCUUUCAGCGGAAGACCGUAUAAAUUAUUGUCACCUUGCAGACUUAGGUUUCAACGGUAGUCGUUACACUUGGACUAAUAAUCGUAGUAUGUGUCAUCAUAUAUUAGAAAGAUUAGAUAGAUUAAUGACCAACUAUGAAUGGCUUAAUUUAUUUUCAAAUUAUCUAGUUACUCACCUCCCCCGUACACAUUCGGACCACUGCCCGUUAUUAUUACAACUAAACUACCACAGGCGAAAAUCUAACAAAGUCUUUCGCUUUGAAACAAUAUGGGCUUCCCAUCCUCAAUUUAGAUCUUUAAUCCAAUCAGUAUGGUCUAUACAUGAUCAACUCUUACCUGCCAUUGAAAACUUCACCACCAUUGUCCAAGCGUGGAACAAAACUCAUUUUGGCAAUAUCUUUAAAAAUAAAAAAUCCUUCUAGCUAGGUUAGCAGGUCUUCAAUCCUCUCCCAAGUAUCCAACUAGUAUAUUUUUACAAAACCUUGAAAAAGAAUUAAUAGGAGAGUACAACUGCAUCCUUCAACAAGAGGAAGAAUUCUGGAAACUCAAAUCCAGGAUUACUCGGCUAAACCAAGGCGAUGCCAAUACCAAAUUCUUUCACCUCUCAACUCUCCAAUGGCGUCGUAGAAAUAAAAUUAUAACACUCCAAGAUGAUGGAGACAAUUGGAUUAGUGAACCUUCACACAUUCAUUCCCACAUCUUGGACUACUACCAAAAUUUAUUCACUACUAGUUCCUCCUCCUCCACCAACUCCUCUCUCACAUACACCCACAUUUCACUCUCGCAAGAAGAUCAAAAUACACUCCUACAACCACUACAAGAUAGUAAAAUAGCUGAAGCAAUAAACUCCUUUCAACCAUUAAAGGCUCCGGGUCCAGAUGGACUAUACUCAUAUUUCAAUCAACACUAUUGGUCUGACAUCAAGCACUCAGUCACCACAUUUUGCCAUCAAAAUUUUAGGGAACAUACAAUACCAAGCGAAAUCAAUACCACGUAUCUUUGCCUCAUCCCAAAAACUAAACAUGCCACAUCCAUUACCCAGUAUAGACCUAUUAGUUUAUGUAAUACUAUCUAUAAAAUUAUUACAAAAAUUAUUGUAAAUCGCCUCAAGCCAAUUAUUCCAAAAAUUAUCAACCCUACACAAACAAGUUUUCAAAAAAACAAGCGAGCGGCAGAUAAUGCUAUUAUAGUCCAAGAAAUCAUUACUAAAUUUCAGCGCAUGAAAGGCAAAAUUUCCCAUAUGCUUAUGAAAUUAGACCAGGAAAAAGCAUUUGAUUGGCUAGAGUGGUCCUUCAUACGUCAAACACUUACUCAAUUGAAUUUUUCUGGACCACUUAUUCAACUUAUCAUGUCUUGCGUCUUCACAUCAUCCAUCUCCGUCCUUAUUAAUGGUAGUCUUAUGGAAUUCUACCAUCCAACUAUAGGACUAUGUCAAGGCGACCCGUUAUCUCCAUAUCUAUUUGUUGUAUCAACGGAAAUGCUCUCCCGUAGUAUAAAUACAACUGUAGAUUUUCAACUUUGGUUGCCUAUACAACUCUUCAAAAAUGGUCAAAGUAUCUCUCAUCUUUUCUUUGCCGACGACAUCAUUCUCACCUCCAAAAUAACAACGAAGAGUUGUCUUACAAUAGUCGAUACUUUAAACUAUUUCACUACUCUCUCUGGCCAAUCCAUCAAUUUUGCCAAGUCCAAAAUCUUUUUCUCCAAAAAUUGUGACUCCAAUGAUAAACAAUUUGUAUUGCACAAUUUCAAUAUGAUUGAAGGACACCGUUUUGAAAAAUACAUGGGAUUCCCCAUAUUCACUCAUAGACCUAUUAAGACCGAUUUUCAAUUUCUAUUAGAUACUUUUAAGACACGACUGGCGGGAUGGAAAUCUAAGCACCUUACUAUGGGAGGAAGAACAACUCUACGCUAAACACUCUUCCAAACUAUAUUAUGCAAUACAUCUCCGUCCCCAAAAUCAUCCUAUCACACUUAAACCGCUACUAGCGAAAUUUUCUUUGGGGGUACUACUACACAAAAGCAAAUAUUACACCUUAUUAAAUGGAGCAAAGUUACUAGCCCAAAAUCGGAAGGGGGUUUGGGUAUACAAAGGCUAGAUACCAAAAACCAAGCCCUUCUAGCCGGCCUUGCAUGGAGACUGUUCCAUAAUCCACUACAACUGUGGGCCCAGGUUCUAUUGUCAAAAUACAACCGACAAAGUGCCCUCUGUUCACAACGAUCUUUUGUUUGGGAAAAUGUUUUGACAGGAUAGAUAACAUGUCAAAAAGUCUACAAAUGGAGAAUAGCAAAUGGCAAACACAUUAAUUUCUGUUGUGAUCCCUCGAUUAAACAUAAUACCACCCUUCGUUCCCUUAUCCAUGGUCCCCUCCAGCACAAUGAAGAGCUCUUCACAGUAGCGAAUUACACCCCAAAAUGCCUCAUGGAAUCUAAACACCAUCUCUUUCCAACUACCACAUGAUAUCACACAACAAAUACAUACCAUAUAUUUGGGCCCUUACAACGGAGGGCACAUUUUCGGUAAAAUCCAGUUACCACUCUCUCAACCCCCCUACACCUUCGCCUCUCUUCACAUGGGUAUGGAAACGCAAGCUUCCACCAAAACUAUUACACUUUAUAUGGGUAUGCGUCCACGAUCGACUGCCAACAAACAAUUAUCUUGCAUGCCUAUCCAUCAUUAACUCAAACAUUUGCCCCAUGUGCCACACGACACCUGAAACUUCACAACACAUUUUCUAUCAAUAUCCCAAAGCCAGCCAACUAUGGUCAUAACUGUCACGACCCAAUUCUCUUAUAAGCCGUGAUGACAUCCAGCGCCGCCGCCAGACAAGCCAAAACUGAACUAACUACGUGAUUUCUCUUUUUAAUAAAUUUCCAAGUAAUUAAAUUUUAUUUAUUAAGAGACUUAAGAAGUAGAAAGUAUAAUAAAUAAAACGGAAGCAACUGAGUGAAAUCAUAAACCAUAGUAACAAUCCAAGACCACAAUGUCUGCUAGUAUGUGCCAAUGACCUGGUGUCACAAGUAUAUGAACACUAAUAGAUUAUACAAAACUCUAGCUAUUGUCACAAGUAUAUGAGCACUCUAAAAAUGCCGCAUCCAUUACUCAGUAUAGACCUUUUAGUUUAUAUAAUACUAUCUAUAAAAUUAUUACAAAAAUUAUUGUCAAUCGCCUCAAGCCAAUUAUUAUAAAAAUUAUCAACCCUACCCAAACAAGUUUUCAAAAAAAACAAGCGAGCGGCAGAUAAUAUUAUUAUAGUCCAAUAAAUCAUUACUAAAUUUCAGCGCAUGAAAGGAAAAAUUCUCCAUAUGCUUAUGAAAUUAGACAUGGAAAAAGCGUUUGAUCGGCUAGAAUGGUCCUUCAUACGUCAAACGCUUACUCAAUUGAAUUUUCCUGGACCACUUAUUCAACUUAUCAUGUCUUGCGUCUUCACAUCAUCCAUCUCCGUCCUUAUUAAUGGUAGUCUUAUGGAAUUCUACCAUCCAACUAUAGGACUAUGUCAAGGCGACCCGUUAUCUCCAUAUCUAUUUGUUGUAUCAACGGAAAUGCUCUCCCGUAGUAUAAAUACAACUGUAGAUUUUCAACUUUGGUUGCCUAUACAACUCUUCAAAAAUGGUCAAAGUAUCUCUCAUCUUUUCUUUGGCGACGACAUCAUUCUCACCUCCAAAAUAACAACGAAGAGUUGUCUUACAUUAGUCGAUACUUUAAACUAUUUCACUACUCUCUCUGGCCAAUCCAUCAAUUUUGCCAAGUCCAAAAUCUUUUUCUCCAAAAAUUGUGACUCCAAUGAUAAACAAUUUGUAUUGCACAAUUUCAAUAUGAUUGAAGGACACCGUUUUGAAAAAUACAUGGGAUUCCCCAUAUUCACUCAUAGACCUACUAAGACCGAUUUUCAAUUUCUAUUAGAUACUUUUAAGACACGACUGGCGGGAUGGAAAUCUAAGCACCUUACUAUGGGAGGAAGAACAACUCUAAUUCGAUCCACGCUAAACACUCUUCCAAACUAUAUUAUGCAAUACAUCUCCGUCCCCAAAAUCAUCCUAUCACACUUAAACCGCUACUAGCGAAAUUUUCUUUGGGGUACUACUACACAAAAGCAAAUAUUACACCUUAUUAAAUGGAGCAAAGUUACUAGCCCAAAAUCGGAAGGGGGUUUGGGUAUACAAAGGCUAGAUACCAAAAAACAAGCCCUUCUAGCCGGCCUUGCAUGGAGACUGUUCCAUAAUCCACUACAACUGUGGGCCCAGGUUCUAUUGUCAAAAUACAACCGACAAAGUGCCCUCUGUUCACAACGAUCUUUUGUUUGGGAAAAUGUUUUGACAGGAUAGAUAACAUGUCAAAAAGUCUACAAAUGGAGAAUAGCAAAUGGCAAACACAUUAAUUUCUGUUGUGAUCCCUCGAUUAAACAUAAUACCACCCUUCGUUCCCUUAUCCAUGGUCCCCUCCAGCACAAUGAAGAGCUCUUCACAGUAGCGAAUUACACCCCAAAAUGCCUCAUGGAAUCUCAACACCAUCUCUUUCCAACUACCACAUGAUAUCACACAACAAAUACAUACCAUAUAUUUGGGCCCGUACAACGGAGGGCACAUUUUCGGUAAAAUCCAGUUACCACUCUCUCAACCCCCCCUACACCUUCGCCUCUCUUCACAUGGGUAUGGAAACGCAAGCUUCCACCAAAACUAUUACACUUUAUAUGGGUAUGCGUCCACGAUUGACUACCAACAAACAAUUAUCUUGCAUGCCUAUCCAUCAUUAACUCAAACAUUUUCCCCAUGUGCCACACGAUACCUGAAACUUCACAACACAUUUUCUAUCAAUAUCCCAAAGCCAGCCAACUAUGGUCAUAACUGUCACGACCCAAUUCUCUUAGAAGCCGUGAUGACACCCAGCGCCGCCGCCAGACAAGCCAAAACUGAACUAACUACGUAAUUUCUCUUUUUAAUAAAUUUUCAAGUAAUUAAAUUUCAUUUAUUAAGAGACUUAAGAAGUAGAAAGUAUAAUAAAUAAAACGGAAGCAACUGAGUGAAAUCAUAAACCAUAGUAACAAUCCAAGACCACAAUGUCUGCUAGUAUGUGCCAAGGACCUGGUGUCACAAGUAUAUGAACACUAAUAGAUUAUACAAAACUCUAGCUACUGUCACAAGUAUAUGAGCACUCUAAACAUGCCGCAUCCAUUACUCAGUAUAGACCUAUUAGUUUAUAUAAUACUAUCUAUAAAAUUAUUACAAAAAUUAUUGUAAAUCGCCUCAAGCCAAUUAUUCCAAAAAUUAUCAACCAUACCCAAACAAGUUUUCAAAAAAAACAAGCGAGCGGCAGAUAAUAUUAUUAUAGUCCAAUAAAUCAUUACUAAAUUUCAGCGCAUGAAAGGAAAAAUUCUCCAUAUGCUUAUGAAAUUAGACGUGGAAAAAGCGUUUGAUCGGCUAGAAUGGUCCUUCAUACGUCAAACGCUUACUCAAUUGAAUUUUCCUGGACCACUCAUUCAACUUAUCAUGUCUUGUGUCUCCACAUCGUCCAUCUCCGUCCUUAUUAAUGGUAGUCCUACGGAAUUCUUCCAUCCAACUAGAGGAAUACGUCAAGGCGACCCGUUAUCUCCAUAUCUAUUUAUUGUAUCAACGAAAAUGCUCUCCCGUAGUAUAAAUACAGCAGUAGAUUAUCAACUUUGGUCGCCUAUACAACUCUCCAAAAAUGGUCUAAGUAUCUCUCAUAUUUUCUUUGCUGACGACAUCAUUCUCACCUCCAAAAUAGCAACGAAGAGUUGACAUACUAUAGUCGAUACUUUAAACUAUUUCACUACUCUCUCUAGCCAAUCCAUCAAUUUUGCCAAGUCCAAAAUCGUUUUCUCCAAAAAUUGUGACUCCAAUGAUAAACAAUUUGUAUUGUACAAUUUCAAUAUGAUUGAAGGACACCGUUUUGAAAAAUACAUGGGAUUCCCCAUAUUCACUCAUAGACCUACUAAGACCGAUUUUCAAUUUCUAUUAGAUACUUUUAAGACACGACUGGCGGGAUGGAAAUCUAAGCACCUUACUAUGGGAGGAAGAACAACUCUAAUUCGAUCCACGCUAAACACUCUUCCAAACUAUAUUAUGCAAUACAUCUCCGUCCCCAAAACCAUCCUAUCACACUUAAACCGCUACUAGCGAAAUUUUCUUUGGGGUACUACUACACAGAAGCAAAUAUUACACCUUAUUAAAUGGAGCAAAGUUACUAGCCCAAAAUCGGAAGGGGGUUUGGGUAUACAAAGGCUAGAUACCAAAAAACAAGCCCUUCUAGCCGGCCUUGCAUGGAGACUGUUCCAUAAUCCACUACAACUGUGGGCCCAGGUUCUAUUGUCAAAAUACAACCGACAAAGUGCCCUCUGUUCACAACGAUCUUUUGUUUGGGAAAAUGUUUUGACAGGAUAGAUAACAUGUCAAAAAGUCUACAAAUGGAGAAUAGCAAAUGGCAAACACAUUAAUUUCUGUUGUGAUCACCUGGAUUAAACAUAAUACCACCCUUCGUUCCCUUAUCCAUGGUCCCCUCCAGCACAAUGAAGAGCUCUUCACAGUAGCGAAUUACAUCCCAAAUGCCUCAUGGAAUCUCAACACCAUCUCUUUCCAACUACCACAUGAUAUCACACAACAAAUACAUACCAUAUACCUGCCACACACCUCUCUAUGAUUUGACAAGAUCAUCCGGGCUCUUACAACGGAGGGCACAUUUUCGGUAAAAUCCAGUUGCCACUCUCUCAACCCCCCUACACCUUCGCCUUUUUUCACAUGGGUAUGGAAACUCAAGCUUCCACCAAAACUAUUAUACUUUAUGUGGGUAUGCUGCCACGAUCGACUACCAACAAAUAAUUAUCUUGCAUGCCUAUCCAUCAUCCCACCAAAAACUUUCUUCUCCUUUUUCCUCUGGAAAAUUUGGUUAUCUUGAAAUCAAUAUGUUUUUAAGAAUUAAAAACAUAUCACUCAGUCUCCCACUUGUAAUAUCAAAGGCCUCGGAAUACUAUUUCCUUACGAACAACUAUCUCCGAUCGCCUAAAAAAUCCCCACUCUAUGUUUAAUGGCACCCACCACCCAAUGAUCAUUAUAAAUUAAAUUUAGAUAGUUAUUUUACACCUAACAACCAGGGUAUCGGCGGUGUUUUUCACAACUCCGUGGGUACUUGGAGUUUAGGCUUCUCCCAACAUAUUUUGGCAACUUCUACUGUAGAAGUAGAAAUGCAUGCACUUAUGUUGGGUCUCCGUCUAGCAAAACAAUAUGACCUAAUGCCACUCAUCAUCGAAGUGGAUGCAAAAGAGGUACUACCUCUCCUUAAACAAAGACAACCCAUUUUACACUAAUCUCCUUGAUGAUUGCAGGUCAUUGAUCCAACAACUGGAUGAUCCAAUCAUCCAGCACAUAUGCAGGGAGCAAAAUUAUGUAGCAAACAACUUAGCUAACUAUGGGCACACAAGCCACCUGGAAGCAGCUUGGAUCUUUUUGACGCCCCCCACCUUUUGUCGCCAACAUCUACCAGCUUGGAACUAUUUACAAAAGACUUGUCAACGCCUGUGUUUUUGGCAGUAUCAACCCCCCUCCCCCCGUACAUCCACCACAGGCAGUAGAUCCUCCUACUAUUUUAGAUACUACUUUUGGUUGUAAUGAACCCGUUAUGGGUGUCGCAAACAGUCCUUGUAUUAGCAACUAUGUAACUAGGGUGCCAACUGCGCAACCCGUUCCCUGUAUCUUUUAAUUACUUAAUGCAAAAUCUCUUUUGUUGACGUAAAAAAACAAAAAAUUCCAAGAAUGCAUGGCAUACUUCGGUGUUC
rnacentral:lncRNA from 1 species